UUGAAAGUCUUUUAAUCACUUAAGCUUUAUAAAAACUACGAAAGCCCUAAAAAUUACUAACCAAAAAUAAAUCUGAAAGAUUGUUUUUUAAUAUAGAAAAUGUUUAUGAAAAAAAUACAGAAUACAAAUAUGUUGGUAAAAAAACCUACAGGUAUCGUGGUUUUUCAACAUUGAAUGCUGCAAAAUAAUUUUAUAUUUUAGUGUAGGUAUUUAUAUGUAUAGGUACAUAAUACAUAGCAUACAUAAUACAUACUACGUACCUGUCUAUACCAUCGAGCUUAGAAUUAUAAGGAGACGCCGUUUUGAUAUUGACGUAUCUAUAGUUAUAUAAAUAUGAAACAAACUAUGCAACAUAGUUCUGUCUCACUCUUUCUAAGCAGAUAAGUGUAUUUGAAAACAGGGACAACAAUAUUUUUGUGAUUGCGUAAAAUGGUGACAUUUACUUUUGAAAUCCUUCUGCGUGCCAUAUCUGGCCAUAUAUGUCAUGGUAGUUGUGCUGUCAAAUAGGUGCUCUUCGUGACUUAUUUUUGCUAUUUUAUAGAAUAUCACUCGUGUUUACUUUUAAGACUUUACUAUUUCAAUAGUGAAAUAAUCAACGAAUAUGCCUAUGUGUUGUAUUGUGAAGUGUGGUGCUAGGAAGCACCAAAAUCAAGCUGGAUUGUCUUUACACAGUGCUUCCGCACAGACGAGCAAAUCGGAAUGCAAGUUGCAAUAUUUGCUUGAGAACUUAGUUACCGAGUAUAGAUUUCGAAUUGUAUAAAUAUUUUUUUCUUAGCACUAAAAUUGUUUUGUACAAUCGAUUAAUACAUAAUUAGCUCCAUUUGCAUUAUAUAACUUUCUCAUGAAUAGCUUGAAAACGAUUUUAAAUUAUUGUAUUUUUUUUAAGAGAGUAUCUCCUUAUGGCGUUUCUUGCGGAUUCUUCUUCAUAGGACCGAAUCUUUGGCACCCUGCAACUAGUCUGACGUGAAAGAACUUUCAUAGGGCUAUUUGAAAUAAUAAAUAAUUACUUUGCCUGUU